ACGUAGGGGGCAAGCGUUAUCCGGAUUUACUGGGUGUAAAGGGAGCGUAGACGGCAUGGCAAGCCAGAUGUGAAAGCCCGGGGCUCAACCCCGGGACUGCAUUUGGAACUGUCAGGCUAGAGUGUCGGAGAGGAAAGCGGAAUUCCUAGUGUAGCGGUGAAAUGCGUAGAUAUUAGGAGGAACACCAGUGGCGAAGGCGGCUUUCUGGACGAUCACUGACGUUGAGGCUCGAAAGCGUGGGGAGCCAACAG
rnacentral:rRNA from 1 species